CAGUCGCCGCGGUAAUACGAAGGGGGCUAGCGUUGUUCGGAUUUACUGGGCGUAAAGCGCACGUAGGCGGAUCGAUCAGUCAGGGGUGAAAUCCCAGAGCUCAACUCUGGAACUGCCUUUGAUACUGUCGAUCUGGAGUAUGGAAGAGGUGAGUGGAAUUCCGAGUGUAGAGGUGAAAUUCGUAGAUAUUCGGAGGAACACCAGUGGCGAAGGCGGCUCACUGGUCCAUUACUGACGCUGAGGUGCGAAAGCGUGGGGAGCAAACAGGAUUAGAGACCCCAGUAGUCCCUGUCUCUUAUAA
rnacentral:rRNA from 1 species